rnacentral:miRNA from 1 species
CAUCUUACCUGACAGUGCUGGA